rnacentral:rRNA from 1 species
CAAUAGCGUAUAUUAAUGUUGUUGCAGUUAAAAGCUCGUAGUUGGAUUUCUGGUGGGAGCGGCCGGUCCGCCGCAAGGUGUGUACUUGGUUGUCUCCUGUCAUCCUUGUGGGAACUGCUCUGGCAUUAAGUUGUCGGGGUUGGGGAACACAUCGUUUACUGUGAAAAAUUAGAGUGUUUAAAGCAGGCUUAUGCCGUUGAAUACAUUAGCAUGGAAUAAUAAGAUAGGACUUUGGCGUCUAUUUUGUUGGUUUGCACACCAAAGUAAUGAUUAAUAGGGAUAGUUGGGGGUAUUCAUAUUCAAUUGUCAGAGGUGAAAUUCUUGGAUUUAUGGAAGAUGAACUUAUGCGAAAGCAUUUACCAAGGAUGUUUUCAUUAAUCAAGAACGAAAGUUAGGGGAUCGAAGACGAUCAGAUACCGU